AUGAUAAUUAUCUUGAUGCUUAUUUUUAAAUUAUAUUUUUUUUCUAACUAUUUUUCCAUGAACCACUUUUUUAUUCACACGGUACAUACACCUACUCUUCACACCAAAAAGCUCAUUAACCACAUACCAGCAUCAUAUCUAUCUUACCACUUUCAUACAAAAAAUUUGCAAAUCAAUUUUAUACCAAACUAA